UACGUAGGGGCCGAGCGUUGUCCGGAGUUACUGGGCGUAAAGCGCGCGCAGGCGGCGCAUCGCGCCCGGCGUGAAAGCCCCCGGCUCAACCGGGGAGGGUCGUCGGGGACGGGUGCGCUUGAGGACGGCAGGGGCAGGUGGAAUUCCCGGUGUAGUGGUGAAAUGUGUAGAGAUCGGGAGGAACACCCGUGGCGAAGGCGGCCUGCUGGGCCGAUCCUGACGCUGAGGCGCGAAGGCGUGGGGAGCGAACGGG
rnacentral:rRNA from 1 species